rnacentral:rRNA from 1 species
GAUGAACGCUGGCGGCGUGCUUAACACAUGCAAGUCGAACGAAGUGGCGAACGGGUGAGUAACGCGUAAUCAACCUGCCCUUCAGAGGGGGAUAACAGUUGGAAAUGACUGCUAAUACCGCAUACUGAAGGAGGGGAUUGCGUCGGAUUCGAUAGUGGGUGGGGUAACGGCCCACCAAGGCGAGGAACAGUCGCCGGUCUGGGAGGAGGAACGGACACAUUGGGACUGAGACACGGCCCAGACUCCUACGGUGGGAAGCAGUGGGGAAUUAUCCGCAAUUGACGAAAGUCUGACGGAGCAACGCCGCGUGAGUGGAGACGGCCUUCGGGUUGUAAAGCUCUGUUAAUCGGGACGCGGUACCGGAAUAGAAAGCAACGGCUAACUACGUGCCAGCAGCCGCGGUAAUAC